rnacentral:rRNA from 1 species
UAUACAUGCAGUCGAGCGGACUUACAAAAGCUUGCUUUUGUAAGUUAGCGGCGGACGGGUGAGUAACACGUGGGCAACCUGCCCUUGAGACUGGGAUAACUUCGGGAAACCGGAGCUAAUACCGGAUAAUAUAAGGAACCUCCUGGUUCCUUAUUGAAAGAUGGUUUCGGCUAUCACUUAAGGAUGGGCCCGCGGCGCAUUAGCUAGUUGGUGAGGUAACGGCUCACCAAGGCGACGAUGCGUAGCCGACCUGAGAGGGUGAUCGGCCACACUGGGACUGAGACACGGCCCAGACUCCUACGGGAGGCAGCAGUAGGGAAUCUUCCACAAUGGACGAAAGUCUGAUGGAGCAACGCCGCGUGAGUGAUGAAGGCCUUCGGGUCGUAAAGCUCUGUUGUUAGGGAAGAACAAGUGCGAGAGUAACUGCUCGCACCUUGACGGUACCUAACCAGAAAGCCACGGCUAACUACGUGCCAGCAGCCGCGGUAAUACGUAGGUGGCAAGCGUUAUCCGGAAUUAUUGGGCGUAAAGCGCGCGCAGGUGGUUUCUUAAGUCUGAUGU